AAAUUCCGCAGAUCAAUUAUCCAAAACUUUGACGAAUACUCAGCGAAAUUGAUUCCUUAAAUCAGCCGUGAAACGUAACGUGUACAUCAGCGACAUUCUUCUCGAACGGUUUACAACCGCUAAACUUAAUCCGGUCAGCCGUGUUUACAUUCAAAGUUCAUUUGAGCUCGGAGAGUCGGCAGGUGAACAUCAAAAUUACGCGUAUAAAUUCCGCGUCUCGUUUAACUCAACGAAGAUUAUACAAGUACUAUACAGUGUGAUAAUUUUGUUUUCUCCUUCAACGAAAUUGGCAGCAGGUUCGCUCUUCCGUUAUUGUUUUGUUAGUUAUCACAGUGCGUUGAACUUUGCCUCGUCAAUGUGUCCAUGUUACUCUCUCUCUGUGUGUGUGUGUGUUUGUGUGAGUGCGAUCGAGAAGUUAUACCGCACGGAUCUGCAGUGACGACGUGCAAAUCUGGAAUGGCUGCGACGAAGUUUCAGCGCAAUUAGCGGCUGUGAGGACGAGCUUGAGAGGCGGUUCGAUACUGCCGCAAGAGACCAGUUGAUGAUGAAAAAUUACUCGGAGCCAUUAUUCCGAGAAGGAAGUUGCUGACCCUCUACAAGCCGACCUCAGCCGGGAAAUAAGAGUCGGUUCGCUAUGACUCGACGAUUUUAUGAACUGAUUAAAACCAGUGCACUUGGCGUUCUCAAUUUACACCCUCCGCAGACUUGUUAGAUUUUUACGCGGCGGUUAAUUUCUUUCGUCGAAGUUACGCUGUAGCGAAAGAACCAAAAAGGGUGAAUGCGUUUUGCGACAAUAAAUGGAAAAAGAAAUUUGGUUCGACCGGCGAGAACAAAAUACGAGAAUGGAUGUUUGUCAUCACGACGGGCUGUUAUCCAUGACCGUAUCGACACCCAGACGUCAUGUUAUUACGGCCUACUUUGGAUCAGCCAAACGUCGACUACGCGCGCAUAUGAAGGAUAGAAGAAAAUGAGUCGAACCUGUAUUGAAAAGUUGAUUGAAGUAAAAUGUGUAUGAUUAUAUAAUUGAUUUAUUGUAAAAGAUAUGGAAAGUGCAAUAAAAAGAUAUG